AUUGAACGCUGGCGGCAGGCCUAACACAUGCAAGUCGAGCGGCGGGGGAGACGGGUGAGUAAUGCCUAGGAAUCUGCAUGGUCGUGGGGGAUAACGUCCGGACACGGGCGCUGAUACCGCAAACUAUCAGACGAGCAUAGGUCGGAGUAGCAAGUUGGUGGGGUAAAGGCCUACCAAGGCGACGAUCCGUAACUGGUCUGAGAGGAGGAUCAGUCAGACUGGAACGGAGACAGGGUCCAGACUCCUACGGUAGGCAGCAGUGGGGAAUAUUGGACAAUGGGCGAAAGCCGGAUCCAGCCAUGCCGCGUGUGUGAAGAAGGUCUUCGGAUUGUAAAGCACUUGAAGUUGUGAGGCGUUACCAUCAGAAUAAGCACCGGCUAACUUCGUGCCAGCAGCCGCGGUAAUUC
rnacentral:rRNA from 1 species